UACGUAGGGUGCGAGCGUUGUCCGGAAUUAUUGGGCGUAGAGAGCUUGUAGGCGGUUUGUCGCGUCUGCCGUGAAAAUCCGGGGCUCAACCCCGGACUUGCGGUGGGUACGGGCAGACUAGAGUGUGGUAGGGGAGACUGGAAUUCCUGGUGGAGCGGUGAAAUGCGCAGAGAUCAGGAGGAACACCCGUAGCGAAGGCGGCACUCUGGGCCGAUACUGACACUGAGGAGCGAAAGCGUGGGGAGCGAACAGG
rnacentral:rRNA from 1 species